rnacentral:snoRNA from 1 species
AGUCUGGUUGAUGCAUUCUGACCUCUAGGCCAGAGCGUGAUUAACGGCCAGGAUUCACCUGAUGGGUGUCAUCCAAUGGCUGUAGAGGAUCGUUCUUGUCCAGCUCACAUUGGUGCAGGGUGGCACAGAGGUUGUCUGACAGAC